AUUGAACGCUGGCGGCAUGCUUUACACAUGCAAGUCGAGCGGCAGCGCGUCCCCGUAAGGGGAUGCGGCGAGCGGCGAACGGGUGAGUAAUGCAUCGGAACGUGUCCCGUAGAGGGGGAUAGCCCGGCGAAAGCCGGAUUAAUACCGCAUAUGCUCUACGGAGGAAAGCGGGGGACUCGCAAGGGCCUCGCGCUAUGGGAGCGGCCGAUGUCCGAUUAGCUUGNGGCGGGGUAAUGGCCCACCAAGGCGACGAUCGGUAGCUGGUCUGAGAGGAUGAUCAGCCACACUGGGACUGAGACACGGCCCAAACUCCUACGGGAGGCAGCAGUGGGAAUAUUGGACAAUGGGCGCAAGCCUGAUCCAGCCAUGCCGCGUGAGUGAUGAAGGCCCUAGGGUUGUAAAGCUCUUUUACCCGGGAAGAUAAUGACUGUACCGGGAGAAAUAGCCCCAGCUAACUUCGUGCCAGCCGCCGCCGUAAG
rnacentral:rRNA from 1 species